rnacentral:rRNA from 1 species
GUAGAGGCGAUCGAACGGGGAAGAGCCCAAACCAUGUUUGUUUCGGCAUUCAUGGGGUUGAAGGAGUAUCAUAAUGCGAAGAAGUAUUUAAGUGGAAUUUUCUGGAAAGAAGAACCGUAGAGAGUGAAAGUCUCGUACACGUAUGUAAUAUUUUAGAGCGGGAUACCACCUGAGUAGGACGGGUCACGAGGAAUCCUGUCUGAAACUGCCGGGACCACCCGGCAAGGCUAAAUACUCCCAAAAGACCGAUAGUGUACCAGUACCGUGAGGGAAAGGUGAAAAGUACCCCUUUUAGGGGAGUGAAAUAGUACCUGAAACCGUGUGCCAACAAGCGGUCGGAGCUGUUUAAGCAGUGACGGCGUGCCUUUUGCAUAAUGAGCCUACGAGUUAACUUCAUUAGCAAGGUUAAUUGAUUCAAUCAAGGAGCCGAAGCGAAAGCGAGUCCUAAUAAGGCGUUAAGUUAUUGGAGUUAGACGCGAAACCAAGUGAUCUACCCAUGGUCAGGUUGAAGCUGGGGUAAAACUCAGUGGAGGACCGAACCAGUUGACGUUGAAAAGUCUUUGGAUGAACUGUGGGUAGGGGUGAAAGGCCAAUCAAACUUGGAAAUAUCUCGUACUCCCCGAAAUGCCUUUAGGGGCAGCCUUGUGUUUAAUUGUUAUAGAGGUAGAGCUACCGAUUGGGUGCGAGGGUUUCACCACCUAUCAAUCCCUGACGAACUCCGAAUGCUAUAACAUUUACACAGGAGUGAGGCGGUGGGUGCUAAGGUCCAUUGCCGAGAGGGCAACAACCCUGAUCAUCAGCUAAGGUCCCUAAAUGUAAGUUAAGUUGUAAUAACGAGGUUGGCUUGCAACGACAGCUAGGAUGUUGGCUUGGAAGCAGCCAUUCAUUUAAAGAGUGCGUAACAGCUCACUAGUCGAGCGAGCCGGCAUGGAUGAUAAUCGGGCAUAAAUUUACUACCGAAGCUAUGAAUUUGCAUUUAUAUGCAAGUGGUAGGGGAGCAUUCCAGCGACGUAGAAUCAGUUUGGUGAUGAACUGUGGAGUUUCUGGAAAAGCAAAUGUAGGCAUAAGUAACGAUAAAGAGAGUGCGAAACUCUCUCACCGAUACUCUAAGGUUUCCUGAAUCUAUGCUAAUCAGAGCAGGGUUAGUCGGGACCUAAGGCGUACCCGAAAGGGGAAGUCGAUGGCAAAUCAGUUAAUAUUCUGAUACUACCUUAUAGAGUGAUGGGGCGACGGAGAAGUGACAACUACGCGGACAGACGGAUUAGUUCGUUGAAGGGUGUAGAUAAAUUUUUUGUAGGCAAAUCCGCAAUAAAUGUCGAACCUGAUAGUACCAAAAGCUAUACUUAGCGAUUGGUUAGUUAGUGUAAACAAUCUUCCAAGAAAACCCUCUAAGCAUAUUUAUAAGGUACCCGUACCGUAAACCGACACAGGUGGAGAGGUAGAGAAUACCGAGGUGCUCGAGUGAUUCGUGGCUAAGGAACUAGGCAAAAUGACCCCGUAACUUCGGGAGAAGGGGAACUCUAUGUAAGUAGAGUCGCAGUAAAAAGGCCCAGGCGACUGUUUAGCAAAAACACAGGGCUAUGCAAAGUUGUAAGACGCGGUAUAUGGCCUGACGCCUGCCCAGUGCCGGAAGGUUAAGGGGGGAUGUAAUCGAAAGAGAAGCAUUGAACUGAAGCCCCGGUAAACGGCGGCCGUAACUAUAACGGUCCAAAGGUAGCGAAAUUCCUUGUCGGGUAAGUUCCGACCUGCACAAAUGGCGUAACGAUCUGGGCACUGUCUCAGCCACGAGCUCGGUGAAAUUGUAGUUCCGGUGAAGAUGCCGGAUACCCGCAGCGGGACGGAAAGACCCCGUGAACCUUUACUACAGCUUAGCGUUGGUUUUUGAUAUUAGACGUGUAGGAUAGGUGGGAGACAAUGAAUUUGGGACGCAAGUUUCGAUGGAGUCGCCCUUGAAAUACCACCCUUCUAAUAUUGGGGAUCUAAUCUAUAAAGGAGACAGCGUUUGGUGGGUAGUUUGACUGGGGUGGUCGCCUCCAAAAGCGUAACGGAGGCUUUCAAAGGUACCCUCAGUACGAUUGGUAACCGUACAAAGAGUAUAAUGGCAUAAGGGUGCUUGACUGGGAGACCGACGGGUCGAUCAGAUACGAAAGUAGGACAUAGUGAUCCGGUGGUUCCGAGUGGAAGGGCCAUCGCUCAAAGGAUAAAAGGUACUCCGGGGAUAACAGGCUUAUCACUCCCAAGAGCUCACAUCGACGGAGUGGUUUGGCACCUCGAUGUUCGGUCCCAAGGGUUAGGCUGUUCGCCUAUUAAAGUGGCACGCGAGCUGGGUUCAGAACGUCGUGAGACAGUUCGGUCCCUAUCUGCUGUGGGCGUUAGAAAUUUGCGAGGACCUGUCCUUAGUACGAGAGGACCGGGAUGGACAAACCUCUAGUGUACCAGUUGUCUCGCCAGGGGCACAGCUGGGUAGCUACGUUUGGCAGAGAUAAGCACUGAAAGCAUCUAAGUGCGAAGCUCUCCUCAAGAUGAGAUUUCUUAUGAGGGUCGUUAGAGACUAUGACGUUGAUAGGUUGCAUGUGUAAGUUACGGUGACGUGCUUAGCAGAGCAAUACUAAUAACCCGAAAACUUUUGAGC